CGCGCGCGCGCACACACACACACACACCGUGUAUUAUCCCCCAUGCUUUCUCCUCCCUCUUCACGUGCAAUGCCUCUGAGUGUGCAAUGCUUGUCUGCUCGGGAGCGCAGCGUCCUUCACAGCGGAUUGGUUCCUCUUUCGGAGCAGAGGUCCUUGGCACCAUUCCAUCUGUGCUCCAGCUAUCCCUGGCUGUUGGAACAUCCCUGGCUGUUGGAUAUAAUUUGCAGCAUCCUUGAGGGUGUCCUAAAUUAUGAUGGUGAUCAGGAUGGUACCCAGCCAGCCCCAGGAUCACUGAUAUGCAAAGGUGAGAUGAAUCCUUCUUUGAGCCUUUCCACCCAGUUAAGCUAAGUGUAUUUUGACUGCAGCUGAGGACUGACACACAUGUCCACACACAAAAAUGCUGUUGACACUCCACAGGCAUUGGCAGUACCACUGUGAGAUCAACUUCCUGGAGCCUGUACUGGUUCGCUGCACACUCAUGCAAUAUAGGAACAACAGGCAUUACAGUUGCAGAAUUUCACCUGGUCCUCCCAACUCCAUCCCAUAAUGCUGCGUUCACCCCCUGCAGCACCUUUCAUUUCCCUUCCCCAAAGAAAAUACGUCUAACACCACCUAAGCUAACUCUCAGUUCAGUUUCAACAAUGCUCUUAAAACAGGCAGAGCACAUUGAAUACAAUACAGUAAUUUUAAAAUAUAUUUUAACAGAAGAGAACUUUCAGAUGGACCCUGUGAGAAUGAUGGUUCUGCCAUCUGGGAAAUGCAAAACAAUUAGACUUCAUUAAAAAUCAGAAGGAGUGAUGUGUAUGGACUCACUGCACCACUCUAACAAACCCAAGCUAUUUAGUGUUGCCACCCUGAACUAGUGCAAGAAUAAGUAGCUCUGAUAACAUUGAGCUUGAUAGACCUGAAAUGAAAAGGGCAUGGGGAGAGAAAGACCCAUCGGAAAAAGAGCUGAAGGAAAGUGAAUAGCUUAAUUUUAAUGGGGAUUUUGUAUGUGAGUUUAUUUUGGGUACCAAGAGUUUGUAUUUAUAACCCUUUUGCUAGGUGUUGGUGGUAGCAGCAAAGGCUCUUAAAACCAACAAACGCCACCAGCUUGAGCCCUGACCAAAUAACCUGGGAAAAAGUAAAUACUUUCCCUGGGUGCCCUAAACAGACAAUAUUUACCCAUUCAUAAGCAAUGAGUCUGUGUAUAACAUGGAGGGAAAUCUUCAUUAGGGGCAAAGGAACACAGCAUCAAUAUGGGAUAAACAUCACCACAAGAAAUCAGGAAUAUGUUUCUAUAAAUAAUAAGUAACCCCGCACACUAAAGUGUUUUUGGCAAAAGUCCUUAAACUUAGUUCCCCAUCAG
rnacentral:lncRNA from 1 species